AUUGAACGCUGGCGGCAGGCCUAACACAUGCAAGUCGAGCGGCAGCGACAUAAACAAUCCUUCGGGUGCGYUUAUGGGCGGCGAGCGGCGGACGGGUGAGUAAUGCCUGGGAAUAUGCCCUGAUGUGGGGGAUAACCAUUGGAAACGAUGGCUAAUACCGCAUAAUCUCUUCGGAGCAAAGAGGGGGACCUUCGGGCCUCUCGCGUCAGGAUUAGCCCAGGUGAGAUUAGCUAGUUGGUGAGGUAAGAGCUCACCAAGGCGACGAUCUCUAGCUGGUCUGAGAGGAUGAUCAGCCACACUGGAACUGAGACACGGUCCAGACUCCUACGGGAGGCAGCAGUGGGGAAUAUUGCACAAUGGGGGAAACCCUGAUGCAGCCAUGCCGCGUGUGUGAAGAAGGCCUUCGGGUUGUAAAGCACUUUCAGUUGUGAGGAAGGCRUAURCGUUAAUAGCGUAUGUGUUUGACGUUAGCAACAGAAGAAGCACCGGCUAACUCCGUGCCAGCAGCCGCGGUAAU
rnacentral:rRNA from 1 species